GUUGCUGGAAAUUUGAGUCCUUCCCGCCCACGUGAUUAUCUCUGUAUGAAGCUGGGUGAUCACUUAGUGCCCUUAUUCUCAGCAGCAGCGGGGAGAGGUGCCGCCUUCAGUAUUGCGUCUUCCCCAGGCACCUCCCAUGACUGACACCCCGGACUGUGAGUUCUUUAUCACACAGCAAACAGGAGCAGGAUCUUCUCUGCAGAUCAAACAAGAAGAACACAAGUUUGAUGAGAGAGAACUGAGUUUGAAUCCUGCCUUCACCACCUACUAACUUGGCACGCCUGGGAUCCUAUCCGUGGAUACCAUCCAACAAAGCGAGAAGAGAAAGUUGAGGAGGGCAAGGUGACAAUUUCAUUUGUUAAUUCAUUCAACAAAUCUAGAUACUGAAGAGCGAUUAUGUGCCAUCCUCUGUGCUGAAUGCUGGAGACACGAUGGAAACAGACUGGGUAUGCACCUUCAUUGGGCUCAUUGAUAUCAU
rnacentral:lncRNA from 1 species